rnacentral:lncRNA from 1 species
GAUAACUUCUUAGUUUGAUCCUGCCUUUGGGAAAUGCUAGGAUAAUCUCCACUUUUGGGGAAUGCCAACCUUUUUCCUUGGAGCGUCUCACCUCCUGCUGUGGGAUGGCUACUCACACCUGUCGGUGUAUUUUGUUGCCAUGAACAUGACAGGUUAAUCUGGGGGUGGAAGCUGAGCUGGUCAGUUGGACUGAUUUUACUUGUUUGAGUGUUUUUAAAUAUGAUGAAGCGAGGUCUGGGUAUUUUAAUUUUGUUUAUUAUUUGGUCUUUUGGGUUACUUAGUGAGACUACAUAAACUCAUCCAAAAACAGCUAGUUUUGUGCCACAUAAAUACACUGGUACUGGAACAGAAUUAGAUCAAUAAGCAGCGAAGAGAGGAUGACUGAGAUGAACAGGACGGUGGAAGAAAAAUCAGAACUUGCAGCAAUGGGGAGGUCUGGAGCAGCCCCACAUGGCACUGCUGGGAACACAUGCCUGGACCCGAAGCCACAUACCUGGACCCAAAGCCACACAGGUGGGUGCACCGUCAAGUUGGAGUCUGAACUUGAUAAAUUGGCGCUCUUGGAAAAGGUGGGUGAGAGUCAUUGUGGAUGUGGAUAGGAGCAGAGCGGUUCUGAGCAGGACGCCAAAACAGAGGAAGCUUCGGAGGACGCUUGUGCCUUCCUGAGAAUGAGGCCACGGAGCACAGCGGGAGCCAGGGGGAGUUUCACAAAGGCUACUUUUGACUUGGUUUUGCAAUCACCUUUUUACUAGUAGGUUUUGUUUCGUUUGUCUUCUGUUGGGAAUUUAAAUAUUAGGAAAACAAUUUGGGAUUAUCUGUCUAGACUACCCUGUCAGUCCAUCUGAGGCUUGUGUCAUCUUAGAGCUAGCUAUAUAUUAGGUAAGGCUUAAAGGCUAGCUGAAGGGUGACGCUUCCCUCAGCUAGGAGGAGAUGGUUUUUUAAAGGCUUGCUGAAGGGCGGUGCUUCCCUCAGCUAGGAGGAGAUGGUUUUUUACAGCAGUGCUGACUCCACAGGAAGCCACCCAGUGUGCUAGGAACCACACUGGAAACACAAAUCUGGAACUGGUUUGUUUUUGUUGUUGGGGGUGUUAACAUGUUACCUGAAAAUUAAUAAUCUUUUAAAGAUGUGGCAAAGCCUAAUGGCACCCUCCUGGGUAGCAAGUCCAACGUUGUCCAGGCACUCACCAUUUACAGAACGAAUAUUGCAAAACGGUUUUCUGGGCUUGUG